AAGAUCAGCCUGGCCAACAUAGUGAAACCCGUCUCUACUAAAAAUACAAAAAUUAGCCAAGUGUGGUGGCGUGCACUUGUAGUCCCAGCUGCUUGGGAGGCUGAGGUGGUAGAGUAGCUUGAACCCGGGAGUUAGAGAUUGCUGUGAGCCAAGACCAUGCCAUUGCACUCCAGCCUGGGUGACAGAGCAAGACUCUGUCUCAAAAAAAAAUCAUGUCUCACAAGAAAUACAUAAAUAAAAAUGAAAACUGUUUCCUGUAGGCCAAGACUGAAGAAAGUACUGUUACUCUAAUGGUUUCAUAGAAAGUUAAUGCCACCACCAUAGGCUCAUGAGAGGCCAUGAAGUGCUUUAAUGGGUCUUAAAUGGGAGGGGCUUCAAUAGAAUAGAUGUUGAAUAGAAUAUCUUAGUCUUAAGGGAGCUAGAGAUGAGACCUGAUAUUCCUGGGGUGUUCAUGGAGUGUCUGUUGUUGGACUAGAUCACUCUUGUGUUUUUUUCAAUGCAGUGGAACCACAACUGCCCUCAAAAGAGGGUCCUGAACCACCAGAAGAGGUUCCUCCUCCCACCACACCCCCAGCUCCAAAGGUGGAACCCAAGGGUGAUGGGAUUGGUCCCACCCGCCAGCCCCCUAGUCAGGGCUUGGGCUACCCUAAAUAUCAGAAGUCGUUGCCUCCUCGUUUCCAGCGGCAGCAGCAGGAGCAGCUCCUGAAGCAGCAGCAGCAGCACCAGUGGCAGCAGCAUCAACAGGGCUCUGCCCCUCCUACCCCAGUGCCCCCAUCACCACCACAGCCUGUGACCCUGGGGGCUGUGCCAGCUCCACAGGCUCCACCCCCACCCCCCAAGGCCCUGUACCCAGGUGCUCUGGGCCGGCCCCCACCCAUGCCCCCAAUGAACUUUGAUCCCCGAUGGAUGAUGAU
rnacentral:sRNA from 1 species